CAGCACCUCAAGUGGUCAGGAUGAUUAUUGGGCCUAAAGCAUCCGUAGCCGGCGCUGUAAGUUUUCGGUUAAAUCUGUACGCUCAACGUACAGGCUGCCGGGAAUACUGCAGAGCUAGGGAGUGGGAGAGGUAGACGGUACUCGGUAGGGAGGGGUAAAAUCCUUUGAUCUAUUGAUGACCACCUGUGGCGAAGGCGGUCUACCAGAACACGUCCGACGGUGAGGGAUGAAAGCUGGGGGAGCAAACCGGAUUAGAUACCCGAGUAGUCC
rnacentral:rRNA from 1 species